rnacentral:rRNA from 1 species
AGUGAACGCUGGCGGCAGGCCUAACACAUGCAAGUCGAGCGGCAGCGGGUUCCCGCGAGGGGAUGCCGGCGAGCGGCGGACGGGUGAGGAACACAUCGGAAUCUGCCUGGUUGUGGGGGAUAACGUAGGGAAACUUACGCUAAUACCGCAUGAGACCCUGAGUCGACGGACUGGGGGUGAAAGUGAGGGACCUUCGGCCGUCACGCGACCAGAUGAGCCGAUGUCGGAUUAGCUAGUUGGCGGGGUAACGGCCCGCCAAGGCGACGAUCCGUAGCUGGUCUGAGAGGAUGAUCAGCCACACUGGGACUGAGACACGGCCCAGACUCCUACGGAGGCAGCAGUGGGAAUCUUGGACAAUGGGCGCAAGCCUGAUCCAGCCAUGCCGCGUGGGUGAA